AAUGAGGUGGCUGAGUAGGUGAAAGCGGCAGUGUGCUAAACUGUAUAGAUAUUAUAUCUUAUGUGGGUUCAAAUCCCAUUCUCAUUG
rnacentral:tRNA from 1 species